rnacentral:rRNA from 1 species
UACGUAGGCAGCGAGCGUUGUUCGGAGUUACUGGGCGUAAAGGGUGCGUAGGCGGUUGUUUAAGUUUGGUGUGAAAUCUCCCGGCUCAACUGGGAGGGUGCGCCGAAUACUGAAUGACUAGAGUGCGGGAGAGGAUAGUGGAAUUCCUGGUGUAGCGGUGAAAUGCGAUAGAUAUCAGGAGGAACACCGGUGGUGUAGCACG